GUAGAAUGGAGUAUAUACAAACUUGAACAUGCACAUACUGAGAUGGGGUUGGUAAUCUGGUUGAUCAUACAUCCAGGUAAUGAAACAUUUAACUGGCAGUUCAGUAAUGAAACAUUUACCUAGCAGCUCAGGAACAGUACAAUGAGGAGACAUGUCUCAGGUAAUGAAACAUUUACCAAGCACCUUAGUAAUGAAAAGAUUACCUAGCAGCUUAGUAACAGUACAAUGAGGAGACGUGUCUCAGGUAAUGAAACAUUUACCUAGCAGCUCAGUAACAGUACAAUGAGGAGACGUGUCUCAGGUAAUGAAACAUUUACCUAGCAGCUCAGUAACAGUACAAUGAGGAGACAUGUCUCAGGUAAUGAAACAUUUACCAAGCAGCUUAGUAACAGUACAAUGAGGAGACGUGUCUCAGGUAAUGAAACAUUUACCAAGCAGCUCAGUAACAGUACAAUGAGGAGACAUGUCUCAGGUAAUGAAACAUUUACCUAGCAGCUUAGUAAUGAAACAUUUACCUAGCAGCUUAGUAAUAGUACAAUGAGGAGACGUGUUUCAGGUAAU